AAUUUCUUUGUGACAUACACUUUUGGACCAGAUAACAAAUUUUCCUAAUGGGAGCUCUUGUAAUUGGCUUGAUUGUGGGUCAAAUUACACCUAAUCACAGGUGGGUCAAGGUUGAGAGUUAAAAUACAAGGGUUAAAAGCCACUUGUUGGAUUAAAACAAGAGAGAGAGAAAUAAAUAAAAAAUCCUUCUUACUUUCAGUACGCCUGCCUGUCAUGACAUCAAUUAACACACAAAUCUAGCCUUACGUGAAGGGAGGGGUUGAUGUUUGGGAAUAGACUAGUGUUAAUAGAUCAAUGAGCGUUACAAAACGGAUUGCGUGUAUAACGAGCGUCACAGACACACGUUUACGCACAACAGGCUAAAUGAACACGUGAAAUGCUGUCUAACCUGUCAGAAAAGUGAAUGGAUUCGAUGAGAGAGAGAGUGGUUCACUUUAAAGCAGCUCUCAAUGACUUGUGUAUCGGUGCGUUGUCGCCAUCUUCUGCCAGUUCUGUUUGUUACCGACCUCACCGGAGCAUCACAUCAGACCGCCGGUGGGCGAGUCCCGGGUGUGUCUGUCUGCCUGCCUGCGUUCAGGAGAGCACGCUAACAACACCGAGUAGGUAGGGAAAUAAAAUGCUGGGGAAUCGAAAGCCGUGACAUCUUCACCACUAGACACUUGUUGUUGUUGUUUUUUUUUUUGCUUUUGGAGGAGGACUGAAGCAUGAAGAAACAUCACAGCCCCGCGAAGGGACCACUGGAAGUCACCGUACCAGACACCGAGGCGACCAUUGAACAACUCAACAAGCUGCUGUCCAACGGCAGCGGUUUUUACAGCCUCCCAGCACAACAUUUCAACGAGGUCUUUCCCAGGAUUUACAUCGGCAAUGCGUUUGUGGCCCAGAAUGUGAUGCGUCUGCAGCGGCUGGGUGUGACACACAUACUGAAUGUCGCAGAGGGAAACUCUUUCAUGCAUGUGAACACCAACGCAGAGUUCUACGCAGGAACUGGGAUCACGUACCAUGGCAUACAGGCCAAUGACACUGAGCAGUUCAACAUCAGUGCCUUCUUUGAGGAAGCAGCAGACUUCAUCGAUAAGGCUCUGGCACAUGGAAAAGGAAAGGUGUACGUUCACUGCCGUGAGGGCUACAGCCGUUCGCCCACUAUCGUCAUAGCUUACCUCAUGCUCCGUCACAAGAUGGAUGUACGAGUUGCAACGGGUACAGUAAGACACAAGAGAGAGAUCGGCCCAAAUGAUGGAUUCCUGCGCCAGCUGUGCCAACUCAACGAAAAGCUGGCGAAGGAGGGCAAGUUGAAGACCAAAUGAUAGAAUGUGCUCUACCCCCACAUUUAUUCACAAAUGCAGGCACACGGUCAAACUAGUGUGCACUAUUUCCAGUCCAAGUAUAUUAAUAGAAUGUAUGCAUACAUCCAGAGCAUAAGCAUGGAGAUAUACAAAGUGUAUUCAAACACACUUUCACAUACACACUCACACAAGGUGUUGUCAGUGUCCUGAAUAAUUACCCUUGCUUCCAGCUGGCUGGUAAAGGCAAAUUUACUGGCAUAUCUGAAUAAUUAAGGCUGUAGAAGGAGCAAGGGCAGCAUUUUACAUGUCAUCACAACUGUUUUGUUUUUGCAUUAUUCCCCAUGAUAAUUAGCUUCCGUUUUUUCACUAGGUACACCUGAAGCAUUCCAGUACCCAACUGUUUGUAUAUCUCACAAAUUCAACUUUUGGAGCAUAUUAGCCCAGUUGUCAUGUAAUGUAGAGCACAAUCAUCCUAUGGGUUCCAAUUUGACAGAAAUACUGCGAUUGCUCAUCCCAUUUCUAUAUGUAUGUGGUAGAAUAUGAUAUUUAGGUAUAAAAAAGCACGUCGAAUACAACUUUUAACCCAUUUACAGACCUACAGCCAGAUUUGUGAUGGCUUUCCAGCAUUUUAAAUCAGGAGGACAAAACUGUUGUGUACCAGCACACACCCCUUUCGCUCACUAAAUUAACAUUCCACUUUGUACCGAAUGGUAGCAUACAAUCAACAAGAUAUAUCUACAACAAGCCAACUGUAUGUUGUAGCUCAGAUUUAACAGACGCUACAAACAGGUUCAAACGGUUCUAUGCAGCAGUGAUAAUGCAUCAACCCCAUUAGAUCUCUUUACUCUAGAAUCACUGUCUCUCACUGCCAAGUCUCAUGCCACAUUUGGUCCAUCACAAGAUCACAGUCAGCCUUGACCAGAGAGACACGUCCGAUAGAUGGAGAGCCUCUGCCAUGCCAACUGCCUAAUGAUGUGCCCUUACACAAGGUUUGUAACCCAGAGGCCCAGUGCCCCUUCAUACUGUUAGUUCAGAGAUCGCAGGAAGCGUGUCAGUGACAUCUGUGGAGUGUAGACCAGAUUUUUAAGGGUAGCUGUUGAAACAGAUUAGGUUUACUUCGGGCUCAGCUUUGUCCUUAAAACAGAAUCACUUUAGCACUGGAAUUGACUCAUUUUGCUGCACUGCUGGCUUGUUUCAGGUUUUAAAGGGGUCAUAUCAUACGUAUUUUUAUCAUUUAAUUAUUUCCCCCGAGGUCCACUUAUAACGUUAGUCCAAUUAAGCAGGCCGUUUUUGCUGCUGUGCCUUUAAGACUUCUAUGUAAGCAUCCUUUUUGCAUGUGAAGGGAGUUACAUUGAUGAGUAACUGAUAGUUGUCGGUAUAGUUUAUGCUGUCCAUCGUUCAAUAACAGCAUCAUUGCGGCAGAUUCACAAAAAGGUCUGCACUGAAAUGUGCUGUUCAAACCAUUCAGAUCAGACUUUAACAGCAGAACUUUCCCACAUUUACUCUUUAUUCAGUUUUGGAAUAACAGUAUCCUUCCUACUUUCUCUGUAUAGCUUCUUUGGGACUGGUUUGGCUACACUGAUGUGUAAAUAUGGGCGGUCGUAUGUUAAAGUAUCCACAUUUUUGACAUCAAAAAUUUCAGUAUGAGACAUUUUUGUAGCUUGGCUUCAGUAAAUGGUCUUUUUGGACUGGGGAGAAAAUGUUGAUGUCUUAAAGUUAACCCAAAAAUGAGAUUUCUCAUAAUAUAUGACCUCUUUAAAGGAGAACCAGCAUCACUUCAUUUGGAAUAAGUGCAUGCUAAAGUUUCAAACACAUAGCUUUUUGAAUUAGUCUCAUUUCUCUUGUCAAAUUUGAUUGAUCUAAUAUUAAUAGCCCCUGGGCCUCUACAUUUAUUAUUACUGAAGGAAAAUAUAGUACAAAUCGUAGGCUAGAUUAUAACACAAAGCACUACUUAUGCCUCUUUUUUUAUAUUUCUAUAUUCCAGAUAUAUAUACUUGUAUAUACAUAUUUAGAUGUUGACAUAUAUGAAUGUAUGACCUGUCCAUAAUAUUUGUGUAUGACCAGUAUCUAUUAACAAUAGAAAUAACUAAUAAAUUGUAGUCAACAUCCAUUUUAUUUUGAAAUGCCAUGGCACAUUUACCCAAAAACACCACAUUUGUUUCACACACCCAGUUGUUUGCUAAAACUUCCAUAUAUUAUCCAGUUUUUCUUUUCGCUUUGAUGGAGAGUGGUGUAUUUGGCUUUAUUAUUUUAUAAUUUACAUUGUAUUAGAGGGUCAAAGUCUGUUUUCACAGGUAACACUGUUGCAGGCUACCUCACAACAUUCAUACUACUGUAGCUAAUCCACAAUAAUUGUUUAGUUUUUUUUGUGUGUGUGUGUCUAAGAACAUUUAAAAUGGACAAAUACCUAUAUGUAUGAAAACAUUAAAACUAUAAACAUUCCUUUAAUAUAAUCUGGAGACCUAGGCUUUAUACAACCUAAUCAGCUGUAGCUUUUGGAAACCUGUGUGCCGUCACAAAAAACGUGAACCAAUGAGGAUGGUCUGUGCCAAUGGCAAGCAAACUACGGGAGUUUAUCAGUCUGAAAUCUUCUUGUGCUUUUAGAGAUUUAAGCAGCAACUUUUAACCUCAAAAAGCAACAACACAUUUUGAAUACGCAUAUUUGGACAUUUCAACAUAAAGAUGUGUUUGCCGGCUCUGUUGGCUACAAGGCUUCAGAAGAUGAAGAAGAACACACCCUUUUCUGAACUGGAUCUGUGGAAGGAGAAACACUGCCAUCUGCUGUUGAUAAACCAUGUGGUUUGCACAAACUGGCCUGCUAUGUAUUGCCUUUUAUUCAAAUGUAUCCGAUUGUAUGUAUGUUACACAGUGCAUAGAAAUCGUAAACAAUAUAAUUAUACAGGGAAGAUUAAAUGAAAAUGGUUGUACCACUAUAUGGCUUAAUGAUGUCAUUAGUAUAUAACAAUGAAUCACAAUGCUGCUUGGUCACUUUGUAUGUAUGUCUCAUUAGUAUGUGAUAUUUUAGUUUGUAUUUUAAUAACACAAAGUAAGGUGUCUAAAGUGAUGCAUUUUUGAUGCACUUGCAUUUUUUGGCAUCGGUGCGAAGUAUUGUCUGUGCAUUUUUGCUUCUUUGUUUCGUCCAUGCGUACAAGCACAUAGUUGCAUUCAUGUGUGCACACACACACUUGCUCAAACGCCGCUGACUACAUGUAACUCUAUAUCGUCUAUGUGCCGUCUCUUACUCCUGUAUGCUUUGUGUUGUUGCUGUAAUGUGAUAUUGUAAAUGACUGACCACUUGUUUGUUGUAAAGGACAUGGAAACCUCAGCAGUUGCAAAUUUGGCAGGAGGGUUUGGCACAAAUGUUCACACUCUAAAAUUAUGUUCUGCAUUUUGAGUUCGCGAGUUGCUUGAUGUGACUAAACAACAGAUUUACGGUUUCGUUUUAAUCUGACUUAAUCAGGAAAGGAAUUACAGAUUGCUUGAAGUGGAGGUCAAAUGAAUGCAUUCACAUGACACAGGCUGUCUAAACAUCCCACCUUAAAGCCUUAGCCUGAAGAUGGAUUAUAUAUUUUUGAUUCAUGUCUUCACUUCACAAAGCUAGGUGUACAGCUUCUGCAGACACUUUGUUUAAGUGCACUUCAUUAAAUCACAGUUAUUUUUCUUACACUGUAAAAUGUUCUUUUGUUUUAUGAUGUCUGAAAAUAAAUCGCAAAAAUUAA